ACAAUUUCAGCAAUUCUCUGCCCCUAGCAAUUCCCAAACACAGCAACAGCAGCAGCAAUUUCAAUCCAUGCGAGGUGGAUUAGGAGGCUUAGGAUCUAUCAAACAGGAGCCCCAGGUGACCAGUGAUCAAACACCACAGCAGUUGCAAGCCCUGCGAAACCUGGCAACUGUAAAGCAGGAGCCCCAACAGAUACAAAGUAUGAGAGGCCUUGCCACUGUGAAGAUGGAGCCACAACAUUCCUCACCCUCUUUGUUUCUACAUCAGCAACAGCAACAGCAGCAGCAGCAGCAGCAGCAACAACAGCAGCAGUUACUUCACAUGUCCAAGCAGUCCCCUCAAUCUGCAGCAGCGGCUCAGCUUUUCCACCAGCAGAGGAUUAUGCAGCUCCAGCAGCAGCAGCAGCAACAACUCUUGAAGACUAUUCCUCAGCAAAGAAACCCACUUCAACCGCAAUUUCAACCACAGAAUCAUGCUAUAAGGUCUCCUAUAAAACCAGCUUAUGAGCCUGGGAUGUGUGCCCGUCGGCUGACUCAUUAUUUGUAUCAGCAGCAACACAGACCUGAAGUAAGAAAACUGUGCCAACUAUAAUUUCUGGGUGGACUAUAAACUCUGCACCCUACCACACAGCUUAUCUGAUCUCAAUUGAUCCUUUAUUUGACUACAGCCCUAUGAUGUUACAUUUGCACUACCUUUUUUUAUAGGACAAUAACAUAGAGUUCUGGAGAAAAUUUGUCGCCGAGUAUUUUGCUCCACAUGCCAAGAAAAAGUGGUGCGUUUCUAUGUAUGGAAGUGGUCGGCAGACCACUGGAGUUUUUCCUCAGGUUGGUUGUGUUAUUGAUUUUUCGUAAUCAAAUGUGAGAAAUCUUCUUAUAUAGUGAAAAAAUGUGGUUAUAGCAAGUCAUAUACCACAUCCACAUCUAUGGAUUGAUAAAGCUUUUCUGAAAAUUGAUUCUUUUUUCAGCUUUGAUAACUAAUUUGGAUUUGUUGCUUAUAUGUUAUGCAAAUUUAUUGCUGACCAACUUUUUCCUUGUAUUAGAAAAUUAAUCACGAUUAUAUAAUUUGCAGGAUGUAUGGCACUGUGAAAUAUGCAACCGCAAGCCAGGCCGUGGGUUUGGUAUGUUUCUUUGUAAUUUUACAAAGCCAUUGUCGUUGACUCGUAAUAUCUGCACCCAUUUGGUUAAUUUUCCUCAGUGUAAUCUUUAUUGGCAUCUGAUGUUUCUGAACUUAUUUGUUCAGAAGCGACUGCUGAAGUCUUGCCCAGGCUUUUCAAGAUAAAAUAUGAAAGUGGGACUUUGGAAGAGCUACUCUAUAUUGAUAUGCCGCGUGAAUAUCAGAAUUCAUCUGGACAGAUUGUCCUAGACUAUGCAAAAGCAAUUCAGGAGAGUGUUUUUGAGCAACUUCGUGUUGUCCGUGAUGGUCAGCUUCGAAUAGUGUUCUCACAACCUGAUCUGAAGGUUAAUUGAAGAGCUCAUAGCGUUUUAUUUUAAUAACUAUACUUAUUAAUCAGUUGUUUAAGACAUGGCACAUUGCAGAUGAAUGCCUAUUAUUUUCUUUUAACUGUUUUCCUUUUUGUCAACUUGGCAGAUCGUCUCUUGGGAAUUUUGUGCUCGACGUCACGAGGAGCUAAUCCCUAGAAGAUUGUUGAUACCUCAGGUUGCUCAAUGUUGCUUUGAACUGCUAAUUUACCUUGAUCUAUGUGAAUCAUGCUUCGGCUCUAACUAACCUGACUUGUAUGUUUCUGUUUUGGCAAAAACUUUUGCUUUCUCUUACCAUUUAUGCUAGAACAGAAACAUUUUGUCCAGAUAAGUACGUACGUGCUAGUCAAACGAGGUCUUUAAUGUCCCUUUUAGAUGUAUUUGAUGAGAUUGAGGUCUUGUGAGGUAUAAUUUCUCAAAUAAGGUUUUGCUGUUGUAAAGUUAUAUGUAUUUCAAACAUAAUCCGUCGAGCAUGCCUUUUUCCCUCUAAUUUUCCUUUUCAUCGUGACUUGGUAUAAGCUAAUAUACAUCUUAGAGAUUUGACUUGCUUUCUCUUUUCCAUUUUUUAUUAAAUGCCAUCUUGCUAGAAAAUAGAACAAUGGUUGCUGACCAUCUUAUUCUCAUCCCUGAUCCAUGGUGAUGAAUUGGUUGGAGCAGUUAGUAGAUUGCACUGUAAAUCACUUUCUCUGACUUGAAUGCAAAUUACCAUCCAUAGGUUGGAGUCCAUCGGUAUAAAUAUAGAUCUAUGUCUGUUGGAUAUGUUUGAGAAGGAUAGCAGUGCAUUGGGUAGUAGGGUUAGCCCUUGCCCCUGAUUAAGGGUUUGGUGAUGUUAUAGUAUUGCAGCAGUGGAGGUGCAGUAGAGGAAAAAAUUCCAAAUGCUGUUUGAGCUGUUGGCAAUGGUAACCGAGGCCAGUAGACCCUGGCUUUUGGUGCUUUCAGUUUUGUGUCUGAUAUCUGUGCUUCAUCAUGGCAAUGUAUGAUUGGAAUUGGUUUGAGUGUUGUAUCCCUAAUUAUGAUUAAUUUAGUAGAGAUAAAGAAGCACUAGAAUCAGUAUUGUUAGCCCUUGGUUAAGGGUUUGGUGAUGUUAAACUAUUGCUACAAUGGAGAGCGGUGGUGGAAAAAUUCAAAAACCUGUGUCGGCUGUUGGCUAGUGCAACCGAGACCAGUAAAGCCUGAAAUUUUGUGCUUUAUGUUCUGUGUUCGAGGACAUUUUUGCUUCUGUCAUGCCAAUGUACACUUGAAAGUAAUUAAGUGUUGAAGGGCGAACUAUGAGAAUAUAGUAGUGAUACAGAAGCACUAGAAUCAAUAUUGUUAAGAGUUCACUGAGGUGCACUUAGUGCUGCAGUUAGGUGAAGUGUAGUCUCGGCCCUUCACUUUGCUUCAGACUUCUGCGACGCUUUAGUAUUGGCACAAACGCAUGUGACUUAGAUCCGAUGAGCUCUUUCCUGAAAUGAUUGAGACAACACAGUAAAUAUAGUUGGAAGAGUGAUAUGUUGAUUUUUAAAGGAACAUUAUAGAUAAAUAUGUUAGCAUCUAAGAAUAGAGAAAUAGAGAUUUAGUAUAAGAAAAUUAGGUACUAAAAAUGACAAAAUAUUGGAGAUCAAAUAAUCUGUCUGGUUUUGCUAAUACUUUUUGCUUUUAUAUUUGAAAAAGACAUUCAAAAUUUGGUGCUAACAGUCCUGGCUUUGAAUGUGCUGAUUCGGGGUUAUCAUUAUAUUUGCCCGUGAGUGAUCCACAUAUGCGGAGUUGUGUUGAAUAUCUUCUCAUAAAGUUUAAGUUUUUAGAUGACGUUGACCUGAUGAAGCAUUUAGUUCACUAUCAUUUCCGUUGCACCUAAUUGACUGCAAGACAGGGUUAACUAAAUUUCUCUUCAGAAUGUCUCUUUAUAAAGUUUUCACAUAUUCUUGUUUCCUGUCCUUCUGUGUGCUUUACUUCUUAUGGGGUUUGUCACAUCUUUUAGCAGAUUGUUUGUGUUAUCUGGAUGAAGCUGUCUUUCAUUUUUGGAUAUAGUGGCAUUUGCAUCUCUUUGAUUUGUUUUUUAUGAUUUUCAUGUGUAGGUGAGUCAACUCGGCGCUGCAGCUCAAAAGUACCAGGCAGCCACCCAAAACGGAUCAUCUACAGCGUCUGUUUCUGAGUUGCAGAAUAACUGCAAUAUGUGAGUCCCAGAUAUUUAUGGCACAGGUUUUAUACGAAAUGUUUGGGCUGACACUGUUGUACCAUGUCUUUGUUUAAUGGGGUCUAACUAUUUCGAUUUAGCACAUAUAUCUCACUCUGUGUUGAAAACUUAUUUUCCUUAAGUAGGUAAUAAUGAUGAGCUUUGUCUCCAUUUAGGGAUUGGCUUCUUUGAUGGUCUGCUGGUACUUUAAUUUUACAGAUCAUUGUUAGCAGACUUAAAUUGAGACUUUAAUGUUAUUGUUGUGAUAUUUGACCAGUCAGUCAUCCUAUUAGUGCUUUAUCUUACUACGAUGUGUACGUCUGAUAACAGAUAUAGCUCAAAUUUUGGUGUUAUGGAUCGCUAUUGCUGGUCAUGCUGCCAAGUCUUGGAAGCUCAAUUGCUCCUGAAACUAUAAAUUUGGAAGUCUAGUUGAUAUCCAUGAUUUGUUAAAUUUGGAUGAACAACUGAAUUGCAGUUGUGUUUGAUUGUUAAAAUGUCUUUAUUAACUGAAAAGAGCAUAUCCUUUUUGGGUUCUGAAAGCUCAAUUUUCCAUUCCUGAUAAAUGAAAGAGAAUAUUGGUCUUGAACUUUUUUGGAAAGAAAAUAUCCUCUUGAAAGUGGUGAAUUAGCUAUCCCGGUGUACCUGUGAAUAUAAGACAUGUUCCUACAGCUUCAAAAUGCAGAUCUUACACGGAAUGUUGGUCUUGAACUAUGGAUUUGCAUUUUGUCAUGUCUCUACUUGGUUAUGUCAAGAUUCAAGGAGAAAUGAUAUUAUUUCUUGGUCGCCAGUCAGAAUAUGAGUUUAUCUCUGUUUUCUAUAUUUUAAAGUACUUCACUAAAUUUCUCUCUGAUUGAUUUUCCUCACUGUAACCAGGGGCGGAGCUUAUAUUAGUGGUUUGGCAGAACCCAGUAGCUUUAGCUCAAACCCUGUAUUUGUAUUAAAAAUUAAAAAAAUCGUUUAAUAUGUAUAAAUAAUCUAUCCAGAACCCAAUAAGCAAAAAGGAUUGUGGUCUAGAACCCAUAACUGAAAAUCCUGGACCCGCCUUUGGCUGUAAUUGUUGACUUGGAAAGGCAGGUUUGGGUGGGAGGAGCCAUGCAAGGUCUGUGAUGUAUUGAAUCUUCCAAUAGAAUAAUGGGGAUUAAAAAUGAAAGGACUUCUGGUGAUUGUAUCUUUUUUAAUUUUUAUUUUUGUAUGGAACACAUCUAGUUGUUGUUCAUUGGUAGUGUACAAUGGAGCUACAUUAAUGUAGGGAGCUAUAUGUAAUGGUGGAGAAGGGGAGGGAUGAGGGAAAGUUAUAGACAUGCAUGUCCUUUUUAUGUCAUAACUUGUAUAACGAACAAACAAUACAUAAUCAAUCUAUCAACAACUACAAUUUUAUCGCAAAGAAGGUUGAUUCAACUUAAUCAUCCAAUUAUUUUGUUCAUAAAUAAUUUUCUUUAACGCAAAUUAGGAUUUCUAUAAAACUGGAGGUUGUUUACUCACAAUUUUCUUGCAUUAAUAUACCACUCUCUAACUGGACUGAAAGGACUUCUGGUAAACAUCAGAUCUAAGGUAACAAUAAUAACUAAGCGUUAAUCUUUGACUAGUUGGUGUCGCCUAUUUGGAUCAUUUGCUUUCAUUAUGUUCUCUCAUAGUUAAGUCCGAACUGAUUCGUGAAACUGUAAGCUUUUAAGGACAACUCCUCUCCAUAUGAUUUUAGGCCUUGUACCCUUUUAGCACCUUCAACCAUAAUCAGGAACAAUGUAUAUAUAUGGUUAAAGUUAUGUCUAUAGAUUCUCUUAUUCUGGAUUUUUCUUAUGCUUGUGUAUUUGCUAAUGAUCGUUUAUCUCUUCAUUUAGCUGUUAAUUUUAAGUAAUAUCACUUUUGAGAUUUUGACUUAUGAUUUUGAUUCAGGUUUGUUGCCUCAGCUCGUCAGUUGGCAAAAGCUUUGGAAGUUCCGUUGGUAAAUGAUUUAGGGUAUACAAAGAGAUAUGUGCGAUGCCUUCAGGUAUACACCUCGUUCUAAUGCUGUAAGGUUUUUAUUUUGGUUCUUUUCUGGAUUUGUUUGGAGAUUUUCCGCUUGUUUCGAUGGGGAAAUCACUACAAAUUGUUGAAAUAUUUGCUUCUGUUAGAGUUUUUAAUUUCCCAACCAGGUUUUAUUUGCCUGUUCUGUGUGUUCCGACUCAACCAGUUCUACCCAACUUUCUUAUCCUCCCUGUGCCCUCUCUCUCUCUCUCUCUCUCUCUCUCUCUCUCUCUCUCUUUUUAAUCUGCCAUCUUCCCAUGUAAUUCAAAGCACAGCUGAAAAUGAAGGCCAAAAUUCGGAUUUUGUAGCAGGUAGCAGCUCAGGGAUUUUGAUAACUGUUCUUUUGUCAUAUUGGGAAUUCCUAAAUCCUACUGGCAACUGACUUAUGAGUUAAUCUAUGAAGUAGACGGAACAUAUUUCGGCCUGUUCUUAGGAUAGAUAUUUCUGAUGCCAUUCUGUUCUUCCUGUUGAGAAGCGUUUUCUUUUUAAUUUUUAGAGUUUACUCUGUUUCUAUAAUUUUAUUUCAGUGGGUCAUAGAGGGUCUAGUGGCACAAGAUAACUUCCAGUUCAGCGAUUUCCCCCUUUUUUUUUUUGUACUUUCCAAGUGUUUAUCACGUAGGCCUAGACUUUUUUCCAGUGACAUUUUUAAAAUGAAGCUAAUCUGGCUGAAAGUUGCACGAUGAUGCAUUCAAAUGAUAACUCUUCUGAUGUAAUUGUAUUUCGCUUUAAUCUCGUCUUCAAUUCAGUCUUAUGGAUAUAAUUUAUAUUCUUCUGUAUACUGCUGGUGCAAUUGCAGAUAUCAGAAGUAGUUAAUAGCAUGAAAGAUUUGAUAGACUACAGCAGAGAGACAAGGACAGGGCCUAUGGGUAAGUUCUGCGUUUUUACCUUUCAACUUGUUCCUGUUGGCUGUUGCUAGUUUAAAGGUCUUCUAUAUCCACCAAGUAAUCACAAAGAUCAAAAGUGAGGUUGCAGGGGCUAAUCUUUCUCUGUGGUUUGAUGGUUUAGAGAUUAGGGUACAAUUGUUAUUCAUCACAAUUCACAAGGCACGAAUGUUAUCAUCUGAAGUUAAAUUUUACGCGCAAGAUAAAUUGCUUUUUGAGGUCGAAACAGGUGACUACCUAAUGUACAUGUGCAAAAAUCCAAACUGGCUGUGUCUGAAUGUAGAUUUCAUUGUAUAUGCAUUUAACUUGUUGAAUUUAAUGUAGUGGGUUGUGUGGUGUUAAGAACUUAACCCUGGGAGUACCACAUGAAUGUGGGGUUGAUACAGUUCUGUAAACCUUACAAUUGUGCUUGAAAUUUGGCCUUUCCAGAGAGCUUGGCUAAGUUUCCUCGUAGGAAUGGUUCAUCGGCUGGGGUACGUGGUGCAGCUCAACCAUCUGAGGAGCAGUCUCAGCAGCAGCAGCAGCCACAGUCUCAGCAGCAGCAGCAGCAGCAGCAGCAACAGCAACAACAUACGGCCAGUCAGAACUCAAACCACGAAAGCUCUGUCCAGGCUGGUACAAUGCAGCUUGCUUCCAGCAAUGGUAUUCUGAGCGAAAACAACUCUUUAAACCCUGCACCUGUUACUUCGUCUAGUAGUACUGGUGCUCGGCUAUUGCGCCAAAAUUCCAUGAACUCUAGGCAACAGGCAACAAUGAAUGGGGUGAACAGCCCUUAUGCAGGAAAUGGUGUGAACAGUCCUUAUGCAGGAAAUGCUGUUCAAAUGGCUUCACCAAGUUCUUCAAAUACAAUGCCACAGUCUCAACAAAACCUGUCUGCAUUCCAAUCACCAACACCGUGUUCAUCAGGCAAUCCGCCACAAACUUCGCAUGGUGGCUUAACAUCUGGAUCACACGUGAAUUCUGCCAAUUCCCCGAAUAUUUCAAUGCAUCAACCCACUCUUUCAGGUGAUAUUGAUGCUAACGACUCUCAGAGUUCUGUACAAAAGAUCAUACACGAAAUGAUGAUGUCUUCCCAACUUGGUGGAGGUGGCCUUGUAGGUGGUGGUGCCACGCGGAAUGAUAUGAAAAGUGUAAAUGGUUUGAUAACAACUGCUAAUAACUCCAUUCUUAAUGGAAGCAGCUGCCUUGUUGGGAAUGGGACAGCAAAUGCUAAUAUUGGUAUCUCUCCAGGAUAUGGCAACAUGGGCAACGGACUGAGCCAGGCUGCAAUGGCCAAUGGAAUUCGGGCUGCAUUAGGUAAUAGUUCUGUUGCUAUGAAUGGAAGAGUAGGCAUGCCAAUGGCACGAGAGCAAAGUGUGAGUCAACAGCAACAAGAUUUGGGAAACCAACUACUUAGUGGUUUAGGAGCAGUCAAUAGUUUCAGUAACCUUCAGUUUGACUGGAAAACAUCCCCCUAAAGGUUUUGACUUGGCUUUAGCCUAGAAGGAUGAACAAAGUGACAAGAUCCUUUAGGAGAUAGGGGUGCCCUCUUGUGGUUGUAAUUGCAUAUUUGGUCCUCAUGUGCUGCUUUGUGCUGCAAAGAUGACAUGAUUUUGCCUUGCACACUGAGAGUAGGUAUGAAUCCUGAAGAGCAAUCAUUUCAGGGCUUGCCUCUGUUGUAGUGAUUUGCCCGAGAAGGAAAACAUGUAGCACAGUAAUUUCAUGAUUGAAAUGUUACAUCACCUGAGGUAGCAUAAGAUUCUUCUAACUUGAUUUUGUCUGGUUUAUUACAGUUAUAUAUUUGCACUAACAGCCUUGAAUAGGACAUUCCAGGAGUGACUUGGCAAACACUUGUACCUUUUCGAGGCAUUUGUAAACUACUGAAUCGCUGAGCUCUUGCCCAUCUUGUGCUGUACCUGUGCCACCACUCCGGAACAUGAGUGUAUAUAGUCUGAAUUGUGUGGAAGGUAUUUUAUAUUAGAACUUUCAGAAGCUGGUAGAAAUUGACUUGCCACUUGUUCCAUGGUAAUGUGUCUAAUGCAAUCACUUCAUUUCUCCUCUCUCCCGACACCUACUAUGUUUUUGUAUAUCAAUUAAGCAGUUUUGAUUGUUGUGGUUGCUGGCUUUUGGAGUGGCUGGAUGCUAAAGAUGAGGAUUUACCUCUCUGAGGAGGGGAUAUUGGUAUCAGUGCUUUAAUUUCUGUUAAGGGGGCAAUUUUUGACUUUUUGACUCUUUCCUCAUGAUUUCUCGGUCAAAGUAUUUGUAUUCGCCUGUUCUCUAAUCCAAAAAAAGAAAGAAAUAGAAUUCCUUAAUUCCUCUCUUUUCUCUUUUUUUCUUCUUCUUUUGGUGGCUAAGCAAAGUGCUAUUUGUUGAAUCGCGUAUGUUGGGGACAUUGGUUGGGUGCUAUCAAAUCUUUGGUAAUCACAACGCGGUAUGCUAAAUGAUGGUAAUCAUAAAAAAAAAGAUGAGACUGGGCAAAAUGAUGUUACUUAAAUAUGACAUCGCUAUAUAGUAAAAUUUAUCGUAUUAGUGUAGUUUUGUUAACAAACCUUAAACUACGUAUUAUAAAUUUGGACUGCUAUUCUUAAAUAAUAUGAAUAUUUCUAUAUUCAAUUUUCAACGCUUGACCUUUCCGAAAAUCGUAAGGCGAUACACAUAGAACGAAAAUCAUCUCAAGUUUUAGAAAGUCCAUCAUUUCCUUCUUCCUUCUCUAUCACCCAAUCUCUUUUUUUCUCCCCUUUUUUUGCUGGAAUACCCAUUUUCAACAUAGAGCUCUUAUAUGUAUACCAUUUACUUAAAUAAUUUAAGAAAAAAAUUGAUGAAUAUGUUAAAUAAAUAAUAAUAAAUUAAUUUGAUUGACAAAAUUCAUGUUAAAACUUAAUAUAUAAUUUAAUAAAUUUAAACUCUUGAAAGUUGUGAUCUAAAUUUUGUAGACUAACAAUAUAAGUAAAUGUUUUUAAAUAUGAUGUGUAAGUUGUAACUGAGAAAUCGAUUCAAAGUUAAGGGUACUUAUGCCUUUUCAUCCAUCUCAUGAACCGAACGUCCAUAUUUAUGAGCUUUUGCACUAUGCACAUGCAUGUACACCAGAACAUUUCUCCACCCCACACACCCACAGGAAAAAGGCAGAAGAGGAUUUGACUUCGUUUGAUUGAGAGAAGAAAAAUAUUUAAAAUUUAAAAAUAAAAAGAAAAAAAGGUAAAGAAAGAAAGAGUGAAGGAAAGAGAAAUAUUCAAUCUGAUUGAAUGCAGUUUUGACGUCCGCAAGAACUCUCUCUCUAACUUUCUCGCUCUAAAGAGGACAGCGCAGAAACUCAGAGAAAACUCUUCUCUCUUUCUCUCUACUGAAACUUCUUCACUUUGACAAAGCAAAGUCCCCAAGCUAAUUUGAGCUGUGGAUCUUGUUCUUUGCACUUUAUUGCGCGAUUUAGGGCUCGAUCAAGUGAACAUGUAAUUUAUUAAUCACUUGUUUUUAUUUUUCUACUCUCGAAUUAUUUACUGUACCGAGCUUCGUUUUUUAGAGGAUUUUUUUUUUCGUCUUUUUAUUUCUCAGUUUUCUGAUUUUCUUUCUUGUUUAAGUUUUCGUGUAUUCUCCACUUAUAGCUGCUUUAUUUGAUUAGUGAUUGAGUAUGAAUUUUUUUUUUUUUGAUUUUUCUUACUGUGUUGAGAUUUGGGUUUAGCUAUGUUUUUAUGGAAGCAAGGGAGAAAUUUGACACAAUAAAACAAUUUUUUAUUUUUUUGUUUUUUUUCUUGCAGGGAUAAGUGGAUAGAGAUAUUUAUUUGAGCAGAAAAAGAGAAGCUUUGGAAGUUUAAGAGUUAAAGCUUGUAGCUUGUACUUGGUAUUCUAUUGAUGAUGCACAACAGGUUUUCUCAGCAUGAAGGUUCUCCCUUUGGUUUGGCUCAAAAUAGGGACUUUGGAAUGUCAAUUGAUGUAGUAGGUUCUGCUUGUUGUUCUGUGUAAUUCUCUUUUUCAGAGUAAAGUAUGAAGUCUCCAGAUCUGGGGUGUUAGGCUUCAUUCCGUUUUAGUUUUCUAUAAUUUGUUAAGUGUUUGUAGAUUGUUAUCUAUUGCAUAAAAGAUAUGGUGCCACCAGGACCUCCUAAUCCACUUGGAGGUGCCCAGCCUGUCCCGUCUUCGUUAUUGCGAUCAAAUUCUAGUUUAUUGGGUGGUCAAGGGGGUGGAAUGCCUACCCCAGGUGGUUUCCCUUCUAUUGUGUCACCUCGGACUCAGUUUGGUAACAUGAAUAUGCUAGGAAAUGCUCCAAAUGCUUCGUCUCUGCUCCAUCAGUCCUUAGGAAAUGGUGGUCAUAAUUCAGGGCGAGCUGAUAAUGGGGCCGAGUCUGAUCCAAUGGCCAGUGCUGGCAAUGGUAUGGGAUUUAAUGCUCCUUCAACAUCGUUUAGCUCAUCGGGCAUGGCAGCAAAUCCAAAUUCAGGUCAAGUUCAGGGACAGCGGUUUCCCAGCCAUUCUGGUAACCAGAUGUUAACUGAGCAGUCACCGUCCCAACAGCUUGAUUCCCAGAACUACCAACAUAAUCAACAAUUUCAGCAAUUUUCUGCCCCUAGCAAUUCCCAAACACAACAACAGCAGCAGCAAUUUCAAUCCAUACGAGGUGGAUUAGGAGGUGUAGGACCUGUCAAACAGGAGCCCCAAGUGACCAAUGAUCAAACACCACAGCAGUUGCAAGCACUACGAAACCUGACGACUGUAAAGCAGGAGCCCCAACAGAUACAAAGUAUGAGAGGCCUUGCCACUGUGAAGAUGGAGUCACAACAUUCCUCACCCUCUUUGUUUCUACAUCAGCAACAGCAGCAGCAGCAACAACAGCAAUUACUUCACAUGUCCAAACAGUC
rnacentral:lncRNA from 1 species